rnacentral:rRNA from 1 species
AUUGAACGCUAGCGGGAUGCUUUACACAUGCAAGUCGAACGGCAGCGCGGACUUCGGUUUGGCGGCGAGUGGCGAACGGGUGAGUAAUGUAUCGGAACGUGCCCAGUAGCGGGGGAUAACUACGCGAAAGCGUGGCUAAUACCGCAUACGCCCUACGGGGGAAAGGGGGGGGAAGUCUUCGGACCUCUCACUAUUGGAGCGGCCGAUAUCGGAUUAGCUAGUUGGUGGGGUAAAGGGCCUACCAAGGCGACG